rnacentral:lncRNA from 1 species
GGAGAUUUGGCAUUGACCCUUUAAUCAGAAAAUGAAUUUACAUUAACUGAUAAAAGAAAAUUGCAGCAACCCGUGAAUCUACACGAAAACAUAACAUUACAAAAGGUCAAAACCUUUAUAUACAAAAUUGGCAUUAAACAAAAAAAUCAACUCCUAAGAAAAUCAUUUCAUUUUCUCUAAAUAACUAGACACAUGCAUAUCAAAAUACAAAAACACAAAUACCUUAAACUUGGUUUUUCGAAUCUAUUAUUCAUGAAAUCCAAGAAAAUUAUGUUCUUAAUCAGAAUUUUCUUAAAAAUAUAGUAACAACAAAAUGGAAAACAACUUAACUCCAAAGUCUAGAAACAUUUUUAGAUUUCACUUUCUUCUUGUGUCUCAAAAACAGAACUCUGCUCUCUGUUUUAUCUUUUCUCUUUCACUCAAUUCACCAGUGUCUACCACCUCCUCCUUGUGAACUGCCGCCUCUUCUUGGAAAAAAUCCACCUUUCUUAGGUUUAGGUAUCUCAUGAAUGUCCAUCACCUGUAUGGUCCUUUGCUUUUUAGCUGCAUUCAAACCAAUACAAAAGAGUCAUCAAACAAUCCAGUUGAGUAGAAAUAUGAAACUAAAAACAAUCGAAGAAACUGGUUUGAGGUUUGGUCUAUGGUAAACCGAACUCCGUUAAUAUGAAAUAAGGUUGGAUUGGUUCAAACUUGAAAGUGUAGUUUAGUGACCAUGAAGAGUGCAUUAUCUAAUUGCAGUUGGCAGUUGCUUGCUACAUUAGUAGUUUAUUAUGCUUUGUGGUUUCCAAGAAUUUAUAUACUAAUCCAUGCCACUAUGGAGAUAAAGUGAUAUGAUUAGUUAAACAUUAUUUCGACUAAUUAAAAACCUAUAGAGAUUAAAACUUCUAGCAUGGUAUAUAUUUUCUGGUUACAAGUAGGUGUUAAACACGUCAACAAGCACUAAUUUAAAUUAGUAUCUAAUGUAAUAUCCUUUUCCUUGCUAACUGCUUACAAACUUCCUUUAAAACGGAGUUUAAUAAAUUACUUUCUGCUUUUUUUAUGUCAUUUGAAGAAAGAAAAAGAUAAUAGAAAAGUUAAAAAUGAAAUUGUGGAGUGCAUGUGGAGAUGCUCGGUGGAUAAUCUUUGCCAUUUGACUCUUCUCAAUGGACACUUAACUAAAAGAAAACAUCAAUAAAAGUACUUCAAAAUAGAUUAACAAAGGAAAUUAUCUAAUUAUUUAAGCGUAAUUUUGUCUUGUUCCCUUAAAGUAUGCCAAUAUUAAUUACUGUUAAUCCUUCGUAUAAAACAAUAAUUAAGCAAAACAGCUCAUGCGUACCCACAAUGAUUCGGUCAAUACAUAAUUAAAAUGUGUCUCAUUCAUUAUGCGAGUCUCAAGGCUAUAGUUAAAGUCAAAAAGAAAUAUUCUAGUAUUGUUUAUUAUAUACACCAUGUAGUAUUAAACUAUACGACAAACUAAAAGAUAAGCUCGACAUACACAUCAAAAUAUUUUUGGAGAUUUGGCAUUGACCCUUUAAUCAGAAAAUGAAUUUACAUUAACUGAUAAAAGAAAAUUGCAGCAACCCGUGAAUCUACACGAAAACAUAACAUUACAAAAGGUCAAAACCUUUAUAUACAAAAUUGGCAUUAAACAAAAAAAUCAACUCCUAAGAAAAUCAUUUCAUUUUCUCUAAAUAACUAGACACAUGCAUAUCAAAAUACAAAAACACAAAUACCUUAAACUUGGUUUUUCGAAUCUAUUAUUCAUGAAAUCCAAGAAAAUUAUGUUCUUAAUCAGAAUUUUCUUAAAAAUAUAGUAACAACAAAAUGGAAAACAACUUAACUCCAAAGUCUAGAAACAUUUUUAGAUUUCACUUUCUUCUUGUGUCUCAAAAACAGAACUCUGCUCUCUGUUUUAUCUUUUCUCUUUCACUCAAUUCACCAGUGUCUACCACCUCCUCCUUGUGAACUGCCGCCUCUUCUUGGAAAAAAUCCACCUUUCUUAGGUUUAGGUAUCUCAUGAAUGUCCAUCACCUGUAUGGUCCUUUGCUUUUUAGCUGCAUUCAAACCAAUACAAAAGAGUCAUCAAACAAUCCAGUUGAGUAGAAAUAUGAAACUAAAAACAAACCAUUCUCAGCUUGUCGGUAGUUUUG